CGAGGAAGGGCGUAGCAAGCGACGAAAUGCUUCGGGGAGUUGAAAAUAAGCAUAGAUCCGGAGAUUCCCAAAUAGGUCAACCUUUCAAACUGCCUGCUGAAUCCAUGAAAUAGAAACAG
rnacentral:ncRNA from 1 species